rnacentral:misc_RNA from 1 species
UUACUGGGGCAUUGUUAAGUUGGGAUGAAUAGUGUUUUCAGUGAACAGAUACUUGCAGACAAGCUUUCAAAGCUGAACAGCACCCAACAAUGUAUUGAAAGUAUCCUUUUGCUUCUUUACUUUGCUUGGCUUGCUUUUUUACAAUGAGUGAAUUGUGUAACUUAUUGAUGAAAUUGUCUUCCUUUCUUUUUAUUGCAAAGAAAGUCAACUGAUUUGAAUGUUUUAUGUUCUUUCUACUUUCUUUUUCUAUAUAAAGUUACAUUUUAAUUUUACUCAAUGUGUUUAUAAUAGUUUACUUGUAAAUGGUAGCAUCUUCUAUUUGUAGUUGCUAGUUUAGCCAUUGGCAAUGUAAUUCCUGGUAUUGCUAUUCUCUAAGCCCCAAAGUUGUGCUACUUCUGAAUGUAAUCCAAAUUUCAUUGGUUUUUUGAAGUUUCAGAUUCAAUUUGAAAUUAAUUCUGAGAUUUAUAUUCAAGGUCCAGCCUUGACGCAUUCUUAUUUGGUAUUUUCUGCAUUUAAAUUCAUUCAGAGCAGUAAUUUUGAAUAGUGUGCUUUUAACCUUUACAUUUUCUUGCUGAAAGGUUAUAAGCUGUCAUAUUGAGUCUUUGUCCAAUUAAAAAUGUUAUCUUGACUCGGUUAUGUAGCUUUGUCACAUUGGUGCAUAUUUCAUCAAAGCAAAGCAGAGCAAGUUGUUGCAACAUGGGAUAAACAAUUCCACAGUUCACAGAUGACUCUAAAAGUUCCUUUAUUGUAUCUUGCAAAUGAUAUCCUACAGAACAGUAAGCGUAAAGGAAAUGAAUUUGUCUCAGAGUUUUGGAAGGUUCUUCCUACAGCACUUAAAGAAGUUGUUGAGAAAGGUGAUGAUCGGGGCAAGAGUGUGGUCUCUCGAUUGGUGAACAUAUGGGAAGAAAGGAGAGUAUUUGGAUCCCGUGCUCGAAGCCUCAAAGAUGUAAUGCUCAGUGAAGAUGUACCUCCACCAUUGGAGUUCAGCAAAAAACGUUCUCGCUCUGUAAAAAUUGUGAAACGGGAUUCUCGAUCCAUUAGAACGAAAUUGACCAUUGGAGGUGCUGCGGAAAAAAUUGUAUCAGCAUUUCACUUGGUGGUCAGUGAACAUCUCACUGAAGAAGCAGAGAUGAGUAAUUGUAAGUCUGCAGUCAACCGUGUGAGGAAGAUGGAGAAAGAUGUUGAUAUUGCCUGUAGUAAUGGAAAAGAUCCAAAAAGAAAAAUUUUAGCCAAAGACCUAGAGGAGGAAGAAAAUCUUUUGAAGCAAUGUAUUGAGAAACUAAAAUCAGUUGAAGCAAGUAGAGUAGCACUUGUGUCUCAGUUAAAAGAAGCUCUACAUGAACAGGAGUCCGAAUUGGAGAAUAUUCGAACUCAGAUGCAGGUUGCCCAGGCACAAGCUGAGGAAGCCAACAACAUGCGAAAGCGGCUUAAUGAUGAAGAUUAUGUACCCAGUGCUUCCACAACCCAGCUCAUUGAUACAAAUGCAAAAGCAGGACAAACAACUAAGAGGACAGCUGCAGCCAUUGCUGCUGAAGUAGCAGAUAAGCUUGCAGCUUCCAGUUCCUCGCAAAUGAUUAUGCACUCUGUUCUUUCUACAUUUGCAGCAGAAGAAGCAAAGAAUGCUGGAUUAACAAAGGUCUCAACACCGUCAAAUUCAUUAGCGGCCGUGCCCACGAAUUCAGUUAUUGAUUCAUUGUCAAAGCCUGAGAAGUCCUUGGCUAUUUCAGAUCCCAGUGUUUUUAUGCCUGCAGGGUCACUUUCUGCUCCAUCUAACCAUUCGUAUCAGCCAGUUUUGUUGUCCCCACCAACCAUGCAGAACCAGGCCCAUAGCUCUCAAGCUCAAUUUCACAUGCUUCCAAAUCCAUCCCAACAAUAUUUGCAGCCAUCAGGGGGUAUUAUGACCCCGUAUGGCUAUGGAAGCAUUUCUCCCUUGCCUCCGGGGCCACCCCCACCCCCACCCUACAUGGUGAGUCCAAUGGUUCCUUUGGCUCAACAGCCAUCACAGAUAACUCAGCAGCAACAAAUGCCUAUGGCACAGCAGCAGGCCCCAAUAACUCGGCAGCAACCAAUGCCCUUAAACCAACAAGCACCAGGUCCUCCUAGUUUUCGCUCUCUUCAGCCACCUGUGAUGGUGUAUUAUGGUCACCCUCCCCAUUCUUAGCGAAAAAUUUACUUUUAGGCGGGUAGAUAGUAUAAUCAUUAUUACCAUGUUUUUAGGGCUGAAUCAGUUUCUGGAGUAUUUUGAAAUUUUGUUUAUUAUAAUCAGUCUGGCUGAGGUUACAAUAUAUAGAAAUCUGAAAAUAAUUUAAAAGGAAAUUUUCUCAAAACAGCAAGUAGCAACUGGGAAAGGGGACAUUGGAGGUGGCAUUUGGCUUGACCAUCAAGUUGAAAGGACAAAGGUUUAUUUAUUUAUUUUAGCGAGGUUGGAUCAGAUCAUUUCAGUUGGGGUGUUUUUGGAGAUGUUCAUUUUCAGGUAAAUUUUCAGUAGCUCGGGUUUGAGGAAAAGUUUGAAGCUUUUGAGAAUUCAUUUACUCUGGUUUGGAUUACUCAAUGGGUGGCACCCUUUUGGAAAUGCAUUUAUGGUUGUUUGGGUUAAUUUUGUAAAUUAAAUUGUUCAUAUUUCUAAGUUUUUAAUAGAGGUUAAUUUGUAAUUUCAGUUUUUAUGGACUG